rnacentral:rRNA from 1 species
CCUACGGUGGGCAGCAGUGAGGAAUAUUGGUCAAUGGCCGUAAGGCUGAACCAGCCAAGUCGCGUGAAGGAAGAAGGAUCUAUGGUUUGUAAACUUCUUUUAUAGGGGAAUAAAGGUAUCCACGUGUGGAUAUUUGCAUGUACCCUAUGAAUAAGCAUCGGCUAACUCCGUGCCAGCCGCCGCGGUCAUACGGAGGAUGCGAGCGUUAUCCGGCUUUAUUGGGUUUAAAGGGUGCGUAGGUUGUUUUUUAAGUCAGCGGUGAAAUUUUGUGGCUCAACCAUAAAAGUGCCGUUGAAACUGGAAGACUUGAGUGUGUUUGAGGUAGGCGGAAUGCGUGGUGGAGCGGUGAAAUGCAUAGAGAUCACGCAGAACUCCGAUUGCGAAGGCAGCUUACUAAGCCAUAACUGACACUGAAGCACGAAAGCGUGGGGAUCAAACAGGAUUAGAUACCCUUGUAGUC